GAUGAACGCUGGCGGCGUGCCUAAUACAUGCAAGUCGAGCGAACAGACGAGGAGCUUGCUCCUCUGACGUUAGCAGCGGACGGGUGAGUAACACGUGGAUAACCUACCUAUAAGACUGGGAUAACUUCGGGAAACCGGAGCUAAUACCGGAUAAUAUAUUGAACCGCAUGGUUCAAUAGUGAAAGACGGUUUUGCUGUCACUUAUAGAUGGAUCCGCGCCGCAUUAGCUAGUUGGUAAGGUAACGGCUUACCAAGGCAACGAUGCGUAGCCGACCUGAGAGGGUGAUCGGCCACACUGGAACUGAGACACGGUCCAGACUCCUACGGGAGGCAGCAGUAGGGAAUCUUCCGCAAUGGGCGAAAGCCUGACGGAGCAACGCCGCGUGAGUGAUGAAGGUCUUCGGAUCGUAAAACUCUGUUAUUAGGGAAGAACAAAUGUGUAAGUAACUAUGCACGUCUUGACGGUACCAAAUCAGAAAGCCACGGCUAACUACGUG
rnacentral:rRNA from 1 species